CACUUAGCUUGUAAAUGCGCAUUGCCCUCUUUCUCACUCAUCUAUUCUCUCUCUCUCUCUCUCUCUCUGACACGCACACACACACACGCUCCUGGAUUUGCAGAAGACAGACAUCUAGGGCAUUUCUUGGCAUCCACAGGAAAAUCAUAUGGGAUUAAAAACUCACAGCAGAAUUGCUGAAAGCUGCUUCUCGAGGAUUACAAGUUCACCUUUUGCAUUUACGGCUGCCUGUUUACCAUCCAUGUGGUAACCUCUGGACAGUAAUCCAUUCAUUAUCCCCACUGAUUGAGUGCGGCAGCAGCGCAGUGGUAACUACUUCACUCAGCUGACGGCAGACAACAAAAGGAGGAAAAUUAUGAAUUCAGACAAUUUAACCUCCCAAAGCUUCCUCUCUGCGAUUCACAGCAACACCAGCAAUUUGUUCUCAGGGCUCCAGUUUGUUCAGUCCUUCAAGCCACUCAUCAUCCCCUGCUACUCGCUGGUGGUUUUUAUUGGUGUCAUUGGGAAUUACCUUCUCAUUUAUGUCAUCUGCAAGACAAAAAAAAUGCACAAUGUCACUAACUUUCUGGUAGGCAACCUGGCUUUCUCAGACAUGCUCAUGUGUGCCACCUGUGUGCCCCUGACCCUGGCCUAUGCCUUUGAGCCCCGGGGAUGGGUGUACGGGCGCUUCAUGUGCUACUUUGUUUUCCUGAUGCAACCUGUCACUGUGUUUGUGUCUGUCUUCACCCUGACUGUCAUAGCUGUGGACAGGUACUGUGCCAUGGUGUACCCAUUCCGCAGGAGGCUCACCAUCCCUAUCUGUGCUUACAUCCUGGCUGCUAUUUGGCUGCUGAGCUGCACUUUGGCUGCCCCAGCCUUGGUCCACACGUACCAUGCAGAGUUCCCAGAGCUGGACUUCUCCAUCUGCGAGGAGUUUUGGUUCCACAUGAAAAGAGAUCGCUUGGCUUAUGCCUACAGCACCCUCAUCAUCACCUACGUUCUGCCUUUGGCUGUCAUCUCUCUGUCCUACCUGAGGAUCUCAGUCAAGCUGAAGAACCGUGUAGUGCCAGGCAAUGUCACCCAGGGCCAAGCUGAGUGGGACCGUGCCAGGAGGAGGAAGACUUUUCGCUUGCUGGUCUUAGUGGUGGCAGCCUUUGGAGUCUGUUGGCUGCCCCUGCACAUCUUCAACAUGAUAAAGGACAUAGACAUCAGCCUGAUUGACAAGCAGUACUUCAACUUCAUCCAGCUGCUGUGCCACUGGUUUGCAAUGAUGUCUGCUUGCACCAAUGCCUUCCUCUAUGCCUGGCUCCAUGACAGCUUCAGGGGAGAGCUGAAAAAAAUGUUUGCCUGGAGGAAGAAGAAAAUUGGACCCGCUACAAACUGCAUUAUGGCCAGUGUGGUGCUGUAAAUGAGAGCUGGUGGGAGUGCAACUCCUUUGUACAUUUACAUUCAACAAGAUGCUUUACUGAAAGUCCCAGAGAGGAGCUGCAGAUGCACCUGAGGGAACAUCCAAAAGGAGAUGAUGGCUUAAAUCCCUACAUCUACAUUUCCUACAAUUCCUACAUUUCCAUGAGGUGCUGGAGACAAGCAGCAGCAAGGGGACGGCAAAGAGAAGCUUGCUGCUUUCCAGCGUGGAGAUGGGAUCUGCCUCUCCUGCUGAGCACAGUUCUGGGUUUCCAGAUAACAUGCUGGGAAGGCAGCUUGUGGCUCACAGCAGCAGGAGUGGCUUCAGUGCUGUGGUUUGUGAGAAGCUGGUGCUGGCUGUGGGGCUGAGGACCACUCAGUGCAGCUCAGGUUCUCCCAGAAGCAUCAGCCAGAAGGCAGCUGUGCUCUGGGGAAGUUGAUCAGCUCGAGGUGUUGUCUCUCUUUCUACGGCUUCUCAGCCACAGUGAGAUGUGUUUGUUUACUCCAUCACACCCACAAGACAGGUGAAAAUGUGAGAGCAAAUGACAUGGGAGCUGUGGUGCACUGUCCCAGGCUGCCACCACCCACAGUUGAGUUUGUGACCUGCUGCGUUCAGGAGGGGGAAGGAGAAGCAACAGACUGUGCUGUAAACCAACCCCAUCUUGGGCUCAUGGUGGCAUGGCAAGAAAGAAAGAAAGAAAUAAUAUUUUUAGAAUUCAAGCUAACAAUAACCAGCCAAAGAGUAAAUCUGAAAUCACCCAGAGGCUGUUCCUGUAUGAGUGUAGGAGCCACUCAGGCCUUCUUGUGAGUGUGGCCCCUCACUUGUGGCCUGUCAGCUCAGUGUGUUUGCUUUAUGGUGUCUUUCUUCCUUGCCCUCAGCCCCUCAGUGCAACAGGGGCAAGCCAGGCAAAAGCAGGAACAUUAGUGUGAGGUCCAUGCACACAGAGGAGUUGAAGGCAGAUGCACUUGUGAAAAGGUGUUUUUUAAUAAAAAUAAUUGAAAGGUUGGGGAUGGAGUUCCAAGGCAAGUGUUCAACACACCCACUCCUCAGCCACUGGAGGAAAUAAAAUGGAAAUAGUUCAGAUGUCAUGUGCAAGAGUUAGAUAUGAACUAAAUAGCCAGUAUACACUACAUACAAAGUAUUUCAAAUCAUUAACAAGACAAAAUUUUCACCAGUCAGCUUUGGAAUGAUUUCCUCUUGAUUAUUGGAUCAUUUUAAAAUUCAACAUCUGUUGUUAAUAUGCAUAGAUUAAAACAAGUAAAAAUAAAUUUGAAACCAUCUGAAGCACUAGACAGCAUAUGGCAGACCUGUUAAAUCUUAACAAGUCAAUAAUAUUAUCAUUGUGAAUCACUCCUUCAUUAAAACAUGUAUUAAUGUCUGCUGUAUAAAAUAAUGUUUAUUUGUAAAAGCCUUUUGUGCCACCCAUGCAAUUGUCACUUGUCACAGCUAAUUCUAGAUUGCUUUGAUAAUAUCUCCUCUUGGAAAAUUGUCACAGACUGAGGACAGAGGAAAUACAAAUCAUCACUUGUCAAAGUUCUGACAACAUCACAGACAAAGUGCAGGGAAGGUUUUGAAGACCUGUGUUUUGCUGUAGUGACAAAAAUAUAGGUUUCUUUGCUUUUAAAGCAUUGUGGAAAGCACUGUUCCAAACAGUUCCGACCCCCCAAAAACCUCAUAUACAGUGUCUGACAAGAUUUGCAAUGUUUCAUGGUUCUUAACAUUCUUUGUUUAUUGCUAAAUGAAGAAACUAUUCCCACGAAUUAGUUUGGAAUGGCACUGUUCACCUGUAAAUGCUGCCUAAAUGUCUGUAACGCCUGAAAAUAUUUAGGGAUGGGGGGGAGGAUAUAAAACAAGUGGGAAUUUAAACCCAGACUGCCUAGGCCUUGAAAUCAUUAAAUGGGUGGAUAAAGGUACCAGAACAUUGAAAAGUGGUCUUUCAAUUGUUGACUGGGAAGACUUACCUCCUCCCCACACAUAUUUUAAGGAAAGGCUCUUGAAAUUCAGGCUGCUAUUUUUCAUGCAGAGACAUCUCCCUUCAUCUCAGUAUGAGGCACACAAACUCAGAGAUGCAGCAUUUGAAGUGACAUUUUCCCUUUGCACCCUCAGCAGUGGCUGUGAGGUAGUUCAGCCCAGACAGGAGCAUAUUCUGCCCUUCAGCAUUACACAUUUUGGGUGAAACCUCUCCUGGAGCAUUGUACAAACAAUUGCCUUGGGAUGCUGUCUGUGCUGUCUGCAUUCACUCACUCAGUUUAAGUCUGAUUUGUGGGUUUAGUUCAGAUCUGCUUUCCAGAAGUGGUACAGUAACCUGGAACCCCAGGCUAAAAAUAUUCUCUAGACAUGUGAAAUUUAUUAUCUAGCAAAAAACUAAGCAACCAACCCCAGACUCUCAAGAUGUUAAAGGAAUGGAUCCACAUAAAAAAAUAAAUAGUUCUUAAAAUGCCUUGAUUCCUGGGGUUUAGAUCACUUUUGAGGGGGGUAGAAGGUGUUCUAAUGUUUGUUCAACAUUGAAGAAGGUAUGGCCAAGUGGAAUAUUUGGUACUUUUCUAAACAAUUAUGGGUUUGCUGAAUAAACAGAAAAGCACAAAAGGUUUGAUGGCAAGAAGAAAAUGCACAGGAUUUUUAGUGCUAAAAUGAUUUAGCUGGACGAGCUGAAUCUGCAACGUGAUGUUCAACAAACCGCUUAAUUUACACUGCUGAAAAUAGGGAUAAUUAGGCAAGCGCUUUCUCAUCCAGUUCUAACAUGAGGUGUUUAAAAGCACGGGUGGAAGGUGGCUUUGGAGAAGGCUGGGUUGACACAAGAAUAAUUUUAAAAUUUUUAACAGCUGUGAAUGAAAAUUAAACGAAGAGUGUCAGUACAGCUUUCUAAAUCUGAAGCUAUUUAUGUUCAAAUAUUGAGACUCAAUGAGGUGGAUAAAAGGUAAUGUGGAGCUACACUGAGUUUCAAAACUCACCUAUUUUAAAAUAGUUGCAGAAAUGGCAAGCCCUACAGAUUAAUCUGCAUUAGUAGAAGAAAAACAGAACACAAGGGAAGUUCCAACUUGUUUCCUGUUAUAUAAUGUUAUAUAAUGUUCCCAAGUUCCCUUUUUUUCUCCCCUAUAAAUCAGAAGCCCUCAGGAUGCAGCAGCUCCUCCCUCCAUACACUCUGUACAGUUUCCAGUAGGAGGAAGAAUCCAAGAUCUGAGAUAUCUCCUCCUAACAGCUCUGGAAGAUUGGAGUCCAUGUGGCACAAACCAUGAGGCAGAGCACAAGUACAUGUAAUUAUCAUCCUAAUGCAGAGCUAAAACUAAACCCUGAAUUGGAGCUAGUAGGUUUAUCAAGUACCAUCUCUUCACAAGAAGUUAACAUGAGUUUCCCUUCAACAUUCAGCAUUAAUAGAUUUGAUAAAAUUGCUGGGUCUUUAUUCACCAAAGUAUUCUUCUAAAUUAUCUCGUUUCCCUGGAACCUGCUAGUCAGCUCUUUUCUCACUAAUUCUUUCUUCAUUAGAGAAACAAGACCUGUUUUCCCUAGCCCCAGGAACCCUUACAUCUCAUUUCCCAUCAGAAGUCACCCUCAGAUGAUGAUGCUGAUGAACAUGGUGUCCUCCCACCACCAUCAGUUGCCCCCCAGCCCAGCAGGCAGAGCCUUUAAGCACACACAGAGCCCCCCUGUCAAAUACUGGCCGUGUUGCUGCAGGCAGGGAGUGUUUUAGAGAGAGUUCAGCUUAUUAAACAAGUUUGCCAAGGUUGUGUCAUCAGGAGAAGCAAUUACAUGAAGCCAGGUAGAGCCCACAUAUGCAAGACAGUGAUUAGAGUAACUAUCUGAUACUGAUAAAGUAGUCUAUUAAAACAGAGUAAAAAAGCCUUUCCUCAUCUCUUGGGAAAAUAAAUACAGAAAAGAAUAAUGAAAAUUGACACAAACUGUUUGUGGGUGCAUGAAGAAUUUGACAUUCCAUUUAAUCGUAGACCUCCCUUUUCUCCCAGAGUCCUGAAAUGCUGUCCACAGUUUGUUAUAAUUUUUUAAGAAAGUUUCAGAUUUCAUCCCCAUGGAUUUAUUAUUCCCUUUCUUGUUCCAAGUGGGUCUCUUGCUCCUGUUGAUAUUAUCUAAUCUAUUUCCUCUUGCACUGGCCACAUAAAACAGGCAUGUGAAGACCACCUCAGCUUCAGACCGUGUCAUGUGUCCUCUGCAAACCUGAGAUCUGCCUGAGCAAGGAGACAAAUCUAUACUAAUUACUUUCCUCCCUUUUGAAUGAGAAGGUAUCAAAACUCAUUCUGUGACUUUAGAUGGUGUUUAUUGUUUCCUCUCUAUCUAGGCCUAGAGCCCAUUCAUAAGGAGAACUGAGUUUGCUCUGAGAGGAUUUGCAGUUGAAAAAUCCAUUUUGACUUUCCUCAUUGCCUCGUUUUCUUUCAUUGCUCACAAAGAUUUUGUGUUUUCCAAGACUUUCUGGCAUUUGAAGGUAAGCUGACUGAUAGACAAAUCUCUGAUUAAUCUUUUCCUUCCAUUCUUAGAAACUGAAUAUAUUUGCUCCUGUCCAAUUUUCUGAUGCUUAUUUACAUCCCAUGCCUUCCCUAAGAUAACCCCAAGUGGUUCUGACAUUAAUUCUGUCAUAUUCUUCUGCAGCAUCUUGGAAUAAAAUGCACCAGGCUCAGGUAGUGUGAAACUUUCCAGUUCUCUAAUGCCUCCUUGUGCAUUUCCAUGGAGGCAGUUAUCCCAACAUGAAGGCCGUUAAAAAGGGGGCCACAGGCUCAUUAACAAAUAUGAACUUACAACAUGAUGUUGGCACAAUUCUGUUUAGUUUGCUUCACUGUAAGAAUCCUGUAUGUCUUUUAGUAGGUUGCAGUGGAUUUGAUAUGCAGAUGUUUUACUCAUUUGCAUAAUUAAAAUGAUUAAAACUGCCUUAAGACCCAGUGCUUUGCAAUUACGCUUUCAGAAGAGCUUUUCUCCUCCUGACUUUCAAGUGAACAAGUUUCCUUACACAUUUCCAAGUUAUUAACUAUGGAGCCACAGAUUCUGGCACUUGGGGCAUCACAGAUAGAAGACACCUCUUAAAAUACCCUAAAGUGCAGCUGUUUGCUGUGCUCUGAUGUACAGCAGUCCUUGAUUCUGUCCUCGGUGACCCGUGAGCUCUCAGAGCUCCGUGUUUGUGGAGUGAUGGAUGCUCUUCCACUGCCACCUCCUGGGCAUGACAUGGCGGACUUGAGAGACGUGGUAAUAAAAGCAUUAAAUGAACUUGAAAAGAUCCUAAAUCAAAGACAGGAAUCUAACUUUGGCCAUGAACUCUGACAUUUUAAGUCUUUCCCUUGACCCUUUGAGUCUGACCCCAAAGCACAGCAGUGGGGGCUGCUGCAGACAGAGACACCCUCAGCACCACAAGAUGAUGGAACUCUUCUGAAGAUUUGCCUAUAAAUCACAGAUUUUAAACAGUGUUUAAAAUAUUCAGCUUGACACUUGAAAAAGGUUACUCAUAACCCGCCAGAGUGGGGGGAAGGCUGGGGGUGGGGACUGCAUAAACAUGAACCACUCCAUCCACCACAGCAGAGCCCAGUUAGGUCUCUGAAGACAUGCACCUCUGACUUGGCCACCCUGGCUCUAAUGACAACUCACUUUUAAUUAAAACUGCUUUCGAAAGAAGAUACUUGAUUAAUGGCCUGGGAGACCUUGAAAAUGGAGUCAUUCCUGCAAGAGGAAGGUAAUUAACUUUUUUUAAUCAGUGGAAACUGACCUCAAGGUCUAGUGAAGGGAGUCAUCAGCAAACUCACUCCCACAGAUACAUAGAAGAGCCCUUCUACAUUACUGGAGAUCCCAGGGAAAGGACUGGGAACUGGCCUUGCUACACACCAGCCUGCAGAGCUGCUUCAUCAUCUCAUCCCACUGCCUGGCUGGGAGCACUCUGGGGCAGAGACACCUUGUGCUUUUUCCUCCCUCACCUCUGACCUGAGCAAAGCUCUGGCUCUUCUCAUCUCACCCUGUCUCAAAAAAGGAAAAAACCACCCAAAUUCCAAUCAGAGACAGCAUCAGUCUCCAGAGAGAACUCCUUAGCAGCCCAGACUCCCCUCACUGUCUUACAGGGAAGACCCUGGCAAACAAACUCGAACAUCAGAACUCAAGGCUUUCCCUUGGCAGAUGCCAAUGGUUCUGCAGCUCAAACCUCAACUUCUGCUUCUUGUUCCUCACCUGGCACAGGUGGGGAUGCCUGGCAAGGACAGUUAAUGGGGCCUUGUCUGAGAUUACAGUGAACUCUUGCCCUUCAUGGCCUGCAUCCUAAACCUGCUUUCUAAUUCCCUAAAGGAGACUGAUUUACGCUUUCAGUUUUAUCGCUGUUAGUUAAUGAUCCAUAACUGUCAAAAGGACAGCUAGAAGUAAAAUCCUUAUGUUAAGUAAAAGCCAAAAUCUGCAGAGGAGACUGUACCAGAGGGAGGGCACAGGGAACAUGCAGAGGUGUUUGCAGGUCCUGAGUGCUGUGACACUUGUGACUGCAUUGCUGCUUGGUGACAGCUCUACAGCAAGGCAGCUUGGGCUGCAAUCAGGCAGCACAGAGCAACUCUGAGAUCUGCAGCCCUCAGGGCAGUUCAGAGUCCCUCCCCAGCAGGGUCCACACCUGCAGAAGGAGGGCACGUUAGGCCUGGAAGGAUAAUGCAGGAGAGCUCCCAGUUCUAAGCCCCUCACUGCCUCACCCCUGAACACAGGCAUGCCAGGAGUGCUGCUGGCCCCGGAAGGCCUGGGACAGAGAAGGUGGACUUUAAUGCUGGUGUCUGACUUUCCAGCCAUGCUGCAAUUCUCUCCCUGCCAGCACUCCCUGCUGAAGUCUGCCUCACCCUUUGGAUGCAAUCACACAUCUUCGAGGAACCCAUUGCACACACCGUGAAAAUCCCUGCCAGCAGUCAGAAAUUGUACUGCUAUUGCUUUAAACCAUUUCAUCUACUGAGCUUCCAGGAGAUUGUAAGUUUUUACAUUUUUUCCCACUCGCUCCUCCUGCACACCUAGGAGCACUCCUCCCCAAGGAAAUCUGUGCUUUUCCAGCACAGCCCUGCCUGCUAGCAAGACACAAAAUAGAGCUGUGAAAAUCAGGACAGCACAAACCCAUAAAGCUCACUUUUAUCCUACAUAUUGAAUGUGAAAACCCCAAAAACUGAAGGAUCAUUAAAAUAAAAACAAGCAACAAACAAAAAACCAAAUCAAAACUCAUCCUACCAAUGGACUGCAUCCAUAACAAAACAGGACUUCUGUAUUCCACAAUGUGUUUUGUGUUUGUGCAGGACCUUAGGGUGCAGCCUGCUCUACCCCAGCAAGCCUCACCACAGGGAAAACUACGGGAGCCCCACACUGGUCCCCACCAGCACAUUCCAGCAAAAGGCAACGCUACCCUCUGGUGUUUCCCAGCAGAACAUCCAGUCUGCCCACUGCCCUCCAAAGCUGUUUCCUUCCAUUUCUUUUCAUCUGCUUUCAGUGCAAAUUCCCUUGUACAUCUCCAAGCAAAAACAAUUAAUGUAAUAUUUACAGCAGUGGAGGAAGAAGGUAACUCUACCAACUCAUUGUUUUGCGUCAGGAGGACACACAGAGACUUUGGGGCAAUCUUUGUUGGCCCUUCACACUUGAUGGAUUCAUAUUUACUACACUUCAUUUGGACUUUUUUGAAGAUUUAUUUGUAAUAUAUUUCCAGAACUGUAACCCUCGUCUGCCAGCACAGACAGGAACUGCAUUAAUGCAGGCUGUGAUUUGGUUCCUAGAGUUUAUUUACUGUUUCUGUAGUAAAUAACAGGUUACAUUGUUUGUGAUGCUUGAUGUUUCUGCCAAGCCUGUGUUCCUAUGUAACUAGAUAAGAGAAAAUGAUGUUAAAAUUCAGCAAUGUUGGCUCAUGAAGGUUGCCUCUCACAAGCUAUGGCAGAAAGUUCUGGGUUUUUUAUGCCCAUGCUAAAAGGUUUGUGAAGGUGCUGAAUCAAUGUUGCACUGGCUUCAUGCGCACCUCAGAGGGAAGGUUCAAGACUGGCCAAUUAUAGGAAAUGGACUUUUAGAAUGUGUCCAGCCCCUUAAUUACUGAUGGUCACUCAGUGAUUUCAGCUUUUGGGAAGUGAGUCUGUGCCAUUAGUGGAGGCAGACCCUUCCUUUGUCACAGUCCCUUCCAGCAGGGCUGGCUCUCGCAGAACAUGAGCGAUUUUGUUUAAUUGCUCUGUGAGGGGACAGGGCAUUAGGAAAGGGAUCAUCAUGCUCUGGCUCAAAGGUAUGUUUGAGUGUUGUGAUGCAUGAAUGUCACUCCAUUACAAGCACAUGUCAUGGCUUUUGUUCAGAAAAGAGUAUCCUUCAUUGCAAGAAAAUUGCUCCAUUUUCAUUAGUCCAGCAUGUUUAUUCAGCCUUUCUGGCCUGUAGCCAUGUCAGAGUCUGAUGCAGAAACCACUUUUCUCCACUGUUGAAAAGGUAUCAAAGCUCAUUCUGUGGUUGUAGAUGGUGUUUAUUGUUGUCUCCCUAUCCCUAUCCCUUUCAUAAGGAGAACUGAGUUUGCUCUGAGAGGACUUGCAGUUGAAAAAUCCAUUUUGACUUUCCUCAUUGCCUCGUUUUCUUUCAUUGCUCACAAAGAUUUUGUGUUUUCCAAGACUUUCUGGCAUUUGAAGGUAAGCUGACUGAUAGACAAAUCUCUGAUUAAUCUUUUCCUUCCAUUCUUAGAAACUGAAUAUAUUUGCUCCUGUCCAGUUUUUUGAUGCUUAUUUACAUCCCAUGCCUUCCCUAAGAUAACCCCAAGUGGUUCUGACAUUAAUUCUGUCAUAUUCUUCUGCAGCAUCUUGGAAUAAAAUGCACCAGGCUCAGGCAGGGUGAAACUUUCCAGUUCUCUGAGUGCGCUGAUGCCUCCCUGUGCAUUUCCAUGGGGAUUUCCUCCUGCUCUAGUGCUGCUGCUUGAAGUCUUUGCACUUGGUCUUUCCCCUUAGAAACACAAAACAAGACACAGACACCUUUGGGCUUCCUGGCCCUUUUUAAAUUUGCUGAUGACCCCUCCUUUUAAUUUGCUAGUGAAUCAAUAGCUUAUGUGGUCUCUUUCCCUUUGUUUCUCAAUGUAUAUUGAGAAUUGUUUCUUGCUGUUCCUGAUAUCACCUGUAAAAUCCUUUUCUGUACCUUCGCUUUUUAAAAUUUUGACUCUGCUUGCUUCUGCUGUUCUUUGAUAUUUGUGACAGAAGUGUCAUUUAGCCACUGCAUUCUGUAGGCACUUUCUCUGUUUUUAAAUUGAAGAACUUGUGACUUUUCCUCAUGUUUCCAAAUCUUCUCCAGAACUUGUCCUUUUAAUUGCAAUGUGCUGAGAAGAGAAGGUGUUGGUGUCCCUGUGCUGCUCAAUAAAAAGAGCUGGA